GAUGAACGCUAGCGGGAGGCCUAACACAUGCAAGCCGAGCGGUAUUGUUUCUUCGGAAAUGAGAGAGCGGCGUACGGGUGCGGAACACGUGUGCAACCUGCCUUUAUCUGGGGGAUAGCCUUUCGAAAGGAAGAUUAAUACUCCAUAAUAUAUUGAACGGCAUCGUUUAAUAUUGAAAGCUCCGGCGGAUAGAGAUGGGCACGCGCAAGAUUAGCUAGUUGGUGAGGUAACGGCUCACCAAGGCAAUGAUCUUUAGGGGGCCUGAGAGGGUGAUCCCCCACACUGGUACUGAGACACGGACCAGACUCCUACGGGAGGCAGCAGUGAGGAAUAUUGGUCAAUGGGUGCAAGCCUGAACCAGCCAUCCCGCGUGAAGGACGACUGCCCUAUGGGUUGCAAACUUCUUUUGUAUAGGGAUAAACCUACCCUCGUGAGGGUAGCUGAAGGUACUAUACGAAUAAGCACCGGCUAACUCCGUGCCAGCCGCCGCCGUAAGAC
rnacentral:rRNA from 1 species